AUAUAUAUAUAUAUAUAAUUUCAAUUAUUUCUUCGAACUGCAAGUUAUGCAAAAACUUUGUUAGACACUCAACAUCCUAUAUCAAUAUGGAAACUACAGCGUGGCAAGUCAACACCAAGCAGUCUACCAUCUCAGUCUCAUCUGCAAAUUUGGGAACUUCACUCUCACAUCUUAACAUAGAAAUAUGCAACUUAGAAAAUAAUACAUCUGAAUAAAAAAUAAAA
rnacentral:misc_RNA from 1 species